rnacentral:rRNA from 1 species
UACGUAGGGUGCGAGCGUUGUCCGGAAUUACUGGGCGUAAAGGGCUCGUAGGCGGCCAACUAAGUCGGACGUGAAAUCCCCAGGCUCAACCUGGGAACUGCGUCCGAUACUGGAUGGCUUGAAUCCGGGAGAGGGAUGCAGAAUUCCAGGUGUAGCGGUGAAAUGCGUAGAUAUCUGGAGGAAUACCGGUGGCGAAGGCGGCAUCCUGGACCGGCAUUGACGCUGAGGAGCGAAAGCCAGGGGAGCAAACGGG